GUUUUAGAUGACUUACAAUGUUUUUUUUCAGUGGUGCCAAUUGCAAAAAAAGUGACAGUUCCCCUUUAAUUGACUUACAGCUAAGGAGUGGGAAAACCUAUUUUGUCUGGAAUAUAAUUUGUACAAUGUGAAUUUUUGAUUUCCCAUCCUGGAGGAGCAUCAUGGGAAAUAUUUGUUUAAAAUGUGUAGGGUGCUAAUGUUAACUAUCAUUUAAGUAACUUAACCAGUUAGUAUGUACCAACUAAUGUAGACACCCUC